CACGUAGGGCGCAAGCGUUGUCCGGAAUUAUUGGGCGUAAAGAGCUCGUAGGCGGCCUGUCACGUCUGCUGUGAAAUCCCGGGGCUCAACCCCGGGCCUGCAGUGGAUACGGGCUGGCUGGAGGCAGGCAGGGGGAGAACGGAAUUCCUGGUGUAGCGGUGAAAUGCGCAGAUAUCAGGAGGAACACCGGUGGCGAAGGCGGUUCUCUGGGCCUGUUCUGACGCUGAGGAGCGAAAGCGUGGGGAGCGAACAGG
rnacentral:rRNA from 1 species